AGUGAACGCUUUCUUUCUGCCUAACACAUGCAAGUCGAACGGCAGCACAGGAGAGCUUGCUCUCUGGGUGGCGAGUGGCGGACGGGUGAGGAAUACAUCGGAAUCUACCUUUUCGUGGGGGAUAACGUAGGGAAACUUACGCUAAUACCGCAUACGACCUACGGGUGAAAGUGGGGGACCGCAAGGCCUCACGCGAUUAGAUGAGCCGAUGUCCGAUUAGCUAGUUGGCGGGGUAAUGGCCCACCAAGGCGACGAUCGGUAGCUGGUCUGAGAGGAUGAUCAGCCACACUGGAACUGAGACACGGUCCAGACUCCUACGGGAGGCAGCAGUGGGGAAUAUUGGACAAUGGGCGCAAGCCUGAUCCAGCCAUACCGCGUGGGUGAAGAAGGCCUUCGGGUUGUAAAGCCCUUUUGUUGGGAAAGAAAUCCUGUCGAUUAAUACUCGGUGGGGAUGACGGUACCCAAAGAAUAAGCACCGGCUAACUUCGUG
rnacentral:rRNA from 1 species